rnacentral:rRNA from 1 species
UACGUAGGGGGCACGCGUUGUCCGGAUUUAUUGGGCGUAACGAGCUCGUAGGCGGUUUGGUAAGUCAGGUGUGAAAUCUCCACGCUCAACGUGGAGGGGCCACCUGAUACUGCCAUGACUGGAGUCCGGUAGAGGAGUGUGGAAUUCCCGGUGUAGCGGUGAAAUGCGUAGAGAUCGGGAGGAACAUCAGUGGCGAAGGCGGCCAUCUGGGACAACACUGACGCUGAGGCACGAAAGCGUGGGGAGCAAACAGG